rnacentral:rRNA from 1 species
UACGUAGGGUGCGAGCGUUGUCCGGAAUUAUUGGGCGUAAAGGGCUCGUAGGCGGUUUGUCGCGUCGGGAGUGAAAACACUGGGCUUAACUCAGUGCUUGCUUCCGAUACGGGCAGACUAGAGGUAUUCAGGGGAGAACGGAAUUCCUGGUGUAGCGGUGAAAUUCGUAGAUAUCGGGAGGAACACCGGUGGCGAAGGCGGCGACCUGGGUAGAUACUGACGCUGAGGUGCGAAAGCGUGGGGAGCAAACAGG